ensembl:lncRNA
CUCCCAGUGUUGGCUAUUCUUGAUGCUGUUUUAAGUGCUUUAAAAAAUUAACUUAUUUGAUUCUUAUAACAACCUUCUGGCUGAAGUAACUACCUAAUUACCUUAUUUCCAUUUUUUAGAUAAAAAGCCACAAAGCAGAUAGGUCAAUUCAUUUGCCUCAAAUCAGACGACCUGAAGUGGCAGUAGGCAAGGUAGCAACUACAACAGAGUCAAAUCCUGGCAGAAGGCUUGUGCCCACUUGAAUUAUGCCACUUCCUAAUAAUGAGAGGAAAUGAAAUGAAUCCUGGCUAGGAUAAACUCUGUUGGCUCCAAAUGGGUGAAACAACAUCUUAUCCAUUAUAUAUUCUCUUUCUUUUUCACACUUAGUCAUCUUCAAAAGAAAAAUCCUUUAAGUUUUAUAAAAUUUUGGCCAGGACUGACAAAAUAUCUUAGCUUUUAUUUCAAGCAGAAGAAUAAAAUAAACAAAUAAUGCAUCUACAUAUAAAGGGGAACUAACUGGUAAAUGAACCUGCCAUACAUGUGCUGUACAUAUUUUCAGAUGAUUUUUUAUUAAUGCAUUAUUUUUAGAAAAUUCUUUCUAAAAUGAACAAUGAAGGAAUCUUCUAUAUGUAGUCUUAAAAUGUAUUGGUAUCUUUGAUAUCUCAAAAUGAUUUAUCUUUUUUAAAAAAGAUUUCUAAUAAUGCACAUGAGCAUUUGUGCAUAUUAAAAGCAUAAACUAUUUGAUUAAUAUUUCUGAAAGAGAGUUUCCUAAAGCACUGAAAAAUUCUCAUAAGAGUCAGUCCUUAAAUGGCUGACAGAAUAUGAAAACUUACAUGUCUGGUUUAAUACAUCUUACAGGAAAUCAAGCUGUUUUAAUAGAAUUACUGUGUAAAUUUUCUUCAGCUGGUAGAUAUAAUUGGUAAAUUAUAUACAUGUAGAUUUUAAUGGAAAAAGUCAAGAUUAUUUGAAACACAAAGUUUAGAAUACAGAUCAUGUCAUAUUGCCCUCUCUUGCAGUGGUGAUAUAUUAAGUAUUGAACCGGGAGGUACUGCAAGAAAGAAGGGUUAAUGGUUAUGGAAGAGAGACAAAGAGACAGAGAUAGAAAAAAUAGUUCAAAAGUAAAUAUAGAGUGGUAGCAAAAAGCAAGGGACCUAAAUCAAAUGAUUGAGAAAUUGAAAAAUCAAUUCUUAUGUUAUUGAGUUGACUGUGGACAGGUAAAUGGUACAGAAAAGACUAAGACGAAAAAGAGGUUUUAGGUCACUAUUAUUUAACUAUAAACUGUUACGAU